GCAUUACAGUUGAUUUCAGAAUGCUACAAAUUUCCAUGUAUAUUAGAAUUCUGCAAUUUUCUACUAUGAGAACCACUAGUGGAGUCGGGCAUAAUUUCAUUUUUUUUUUCUCAGGCUUAAGGCCGCGUUUGUUUUUCAUAAUUUAUGCCGUUUUCGUUUUGCAUCCGUGGAAACAGUUCCUUUCCCUCGUUUGGUUAGCCUCCGUUUGUAAAAUAACUUAUCCAACUUCUCCGUAUUAAUACCGAUCUCAAAAGUAAAAAAAGGCAGCAGUUAGCGUCCAAUAACUGAGUUUUGAGAGGAAUAAACCGAAUUUACCCUGCACUUUCCCACGUCGCCCUCACGUCCCUCUUCAGCGAUUUUCUCUUCCUCCUCAUUUCUUCCUUCCCUGUUUUGCAGUGUCCUCCCCCAUUUCUGCUCUAAUUCGAACCGAACAGAUUUGUCGACCUUGCUUCCACUUCAACCCUUCUCCAUUUCGUCGAUUCAAGGCAACAAACAGGUAUGUCGACCUUCCUACUUAAUUACUGUGCAAAAAAAAUUCGUGGAUACAUUCGUAUGAACAGAAUCCUAAGUGUUCUCCAUUAAUCUUCCAAAAACUAUGUCAACAGUACACAUUUGUAAACAAAUAUUAUUUUAAUUAUUUAAUAUCUGAGUUAUCAGUUUAAUUUAAUAGUUGAGUUAUUAGUUUAAUUUAAUACCAAAUUACCAUGUCAACACUACAUUUAAUACCUGAGUUAUCAGUUUAAUUUUGAUGUCUAAACUAAAAAUUUAUAAUUAUCUUGCACAACUAUAAAACAGAAUUUCCUUCGUUUUAAUUAUAUAAAAAUAUUUGUAAAUUUUUAUAAUUUUUAGUAUAUAUUUAUUAUGUAUUUUUUAUCUCUAAGAUGUUGGAAUAUGUAGAUGGCGAAACAAAGAGAAUGUGGUCCACCUGCGACAUGGGAUAUCAAUAACACAUUACUCUAUUGUGACUUAUGUAUAGAAGAAAUUGAAUUGGGUAAUAGACCUUCCACCCAUUUCAAUAAGGAAGGUUGGACAAACCUUAUGACAAAAUUUAAUUCACGCACUGGACGAUCGUAUGAUCGUACACAACUAAAGAAUAAGUGGGAUCAUUUGAAGAAGGAUUGGAAGUUGUGGAAAGAGUUGUUGCGUGGGGAGACUGGAUUAGGGUGGAAUCCAAUAAAACGAACCAUAGAUGCUUCUAAUGAAUGGUGGAAUGAUAAAAUAUAGGUCAUACCUGCAGCAAGAAAGUUUAGGUUCAACGGAAUACCACCAGAACUCGAACAAAAACUUGAAAUUAUGUUCAGUCGCAUUGUCGCAACUGGAAAUAAUGUAUGGAUUCCAAACUCUGGGGUUUUACCCUCCGAAGUAAGUAAUGACCAUCACAAUUCAUCCGAGGAAAAGGACUUCCAAGAUGAUGACCCACAUACGGAAGUAGGUCACGAAGAAGAUGCUAUAUUUCCAACAGCUUUCCAAAGAUCUCAAACUUCAACCACAUUACUAAAAAGGAAGAGAGUUAAACCAGUUAGGUUAGCAGGGAAGCAACUAUUUCUAAAUCAUAUUGAAAGUUUAGUUAAAGCUGUGGAAUCAGUAAGCUCUACUAUAGCAACCUCAACGUCACAGCGUAGAACUGUUAAAAUACUUGAUGCGGUCGCAGAGAUAUCAGCCAUACCUGAAAUAUAUGAUGAUUUGGAAUUAUAUGCUUUUGCAAUUGAGUACUUACAAGAUAGAAAUAGUAGAGAGAGUUUUAUGGGAAUCCCAAGUGAGCGAAAAGUUUGGUGGCUUCGAAGAUGCUUCAACAAAAGUUCAAAUUAGACUUCUAUAGAAAUAUCUUUUAUUUGGAUAUGUAUUACCUUUUGUUCUUCUGUUCCGAAUUAACAAAUAUUACCACAUGUUUUUUUAAUAUGUUGAUAACCUUAUCAAAACCUAUAAAUUCUGUAACUUAGCAUGAUUACCUUUGUUUUUUUCAUAUGCAUCUAAGUUAUUUAAAAAAAAAAUCGGACUUAACCAUGAACAGUCUUCAGGCAAAGCAGUUUAUAGUAUUGAUUGUCUCGUCUAGUUUAAUUUUUCUGUAACUUAGCAUGAUUACCUUUGCGAAUAUUGAUUGUCUCGUCGUGUUUCUUUUAAGUAUGGACACGAACAGCUUCUGCUGAGUUUAUAUUUUCUCUCAAUUACCCCAAAUUUGAGCCGUAUUUAAUUUUUAUUAAAUAGGUAAUGCAGACAUUAUGUAAGUAAUACAUCAAAGCUACUGAAAAAAAGAAAUGAUUCCUACAAGAAUACGAAUUGUUUUCUGAUCUCUUCAUUGCCAAUUUACAGAAACAAUAAGUAUAUAAAAAAAUGAUUCCUAUAAGAAUACAAAUUGUUGGCCCAUCAACUUGUAAGAAAUUUAUUUGUUAUUGUUGCUGAAUCAGUUAUUUUCUCUAUACAAACUACAAUCAUCAGAUGUCAAUAAAGAUUGAAUUGUUUGUAAAUUUUGCUUUUUUUAUGUAAACAGAAAACCAAUGUCUUCCGAUAGUGGAAACAGUUCAAAUGAUGAGCAAGAAGAAGAAGUAUAUUCAGAUAACGAGAACAAGACAAUUUUUCAAUUUAAUAAUAUAGUGUUAGGCUCAAGCUUUCUAAUGUACGAUUACUACUCAUUGUACUUAAAUAAAAAACCAUGCAUGAGGUCUAACCAAACUGGAGAUAAAUGGAUAAGUGAGUUACUGCUCGGGCAUCCAGUUAGAUUUCACAAUAUUUUUAGAAUGUCCCAGAUUAUUUUCAACGACUUGGUAUGUUUGCUUGAAGAAAAACAGGACAUAUAUGGAUCACGCAGGACAAACAUUAGAGAAGUUCUUGCAAUAACUUUAUUCAUUUUAGGGAAAAAUGAAUCCAUUCGAUCAACAUCCGAAAGAUUCCAACAUUCUACAGAAACAAUAAGUAGAUACUUUUGUGUUGGACUUGAAGCUUUAUCAGGACUGUCAUUGGAAAUUAUUUCACCUAAAGAUAAGAAAUUUUAGAAUAUUCCAGUGUAGAUCCGAAGGGAUAUGAGGUAUAUGCCAUAUUUCAGAGAUUGUAUUGGGGCAAUUGAUGGAACUCAUGUUGAUGCAAGAAUUCCUGUGGAAGAUCAAAUUCCUUUCAUAGGACGGCAUCAUAAAACUACUCAAAAUGUAAUGGCUACUUGUGAUUUCGACAUGUGCUUUACAUUUGUUUCAGCAGGAUGGGAAGGUUCUGCACAUGAUGCUCGCAUUUUUAAACAUGCUGUGACAAAUUCUAAAUUUAAUUUUCCAAAACCGCCAACAGGUAAAUAUUACUUAGUUGAUCCAGCUUAUCCUCUGAAAAAAGGAUAUCUGAGGCCUUACCCAGAUACAUGAUAUCAUUUAGCAGAUUUUGCUCAAGGAAGUCAACCAAUAAGGGGUUACAGGGAAGUAUUCAAUAAGAGACAUUCCUCAUUACGAAGUAUCAUUGAGCGUACAUUUGGUGUGUGGAAAAAAAAUGGAGAAUUCUACAUGAUAUGCCAAAUUACGCGUUGAAGAAACAAUAUCAAAUAGUUAUAGGUACAAUGGCAUUGCAUAAUUUUAUACGAAGACAUAACUCACGGGUCGAUCCUGAUUUUGAUGAGUAUGAGAAGGAUGAAAAUUUUGAUAUUUCUGACUGUAGUCUAGACAGAGUGCCAAAAUCAGGUGAAGAAAAUGUUUGUGUUGAAGAACAGACUGAUGGUGAAGGUGUUACUGAGAUGAAAGAAGGUAGAGAUAAUAUCGCGAAAUAGUUGUACAACUUUAAUAGGUGUGUAGAUGAGAUAUGAUGAUGAAAAUGUAGAAGUUGAAGAAGAUAACCUUGACAAACCUUAUGAAGGUUGAAGUUGCUUGUUAAAUUUGUUAGAAUUUGUGUUUGUGUGAUUGAGAACAAAAUGAGUUUUAAAAAAUUAAUGUUUUUUAAAUGAAUUAGUAUAUGAUGUGUGGUUAUAUUAAAAA